UGUGCUGCCAUGUUGUUUUGUUGUUUAUUUUUUACUUUGGUGGAGUUCAAUAACUUGAUCCACCCAGUGAUCAGAUGCCUUGGCAUUUCAAAGGAAUUUCCGUAACUUUUAAGCCCGCCUUUUGUUACCUCCGCUGUACUUCUCGUGCACGGCCAGAACUGUUUGAUUAAAAUGCAGCAACUCCUAAAAAUUCAGAAAUGGAGGCUGAUUACUGCAGCAGUCAGCAUGGCCUCGGUACUGCCCCGUCAAGUUGAUUUGCUUACGGGAUGGUUUAGGAUUUAGGAUUAAAAAUAAGGUUUUACUUUUUAAAACCACUUGUUGGGGUUUCAUAAGUUUUUCUUCCUUAAGGCGGCCAAGAUUCUGGGAGCCUAAAAGCAACCGCUCACAGGGACGCAGGCGUUCUGGUUCACUCCCUCCCUGCCAUCUGUCACCUUCUGCAGCUUACGGAGCCCUGUUACAGAAUUGUUACCUGCAGUUCUAUGAUUUUGAUCAACUUUUUGAAAGCCAUUCUGUGCUUUGGAUUCGUGUGAAAGGAUGUGUGAUCACGGCAUUGUUCAUGCUGGCUACAAGCUACUUAUCUCCAUGCAAUUUUGCCUUGUAACAGUGGAAUUUCUGAUAGGCGAACCACAGAACCUUGAUUUUAAGCCAGCUCCAGCUCCAUUGCCUUGGCAGGCGAUCUUCUAUCCCCAUAGUUUAGCCUUCAUGGGCUGAGGGUAUGAAGUUCCUCCUCCAGGGCUGGAAAUGGAGCAGAGCUCUGUUAUCAUUUCUUUAUGACCCAAAGGCCAAUGAAACAACUCCAGGAUUUUUUUUUUUUUUAGAAGAACGUAAACAUUACUAGAGUAGUAAAACAAAAGAAGGUUCAGUGUUUCUUUUCAGUAAAACUUAUAUCAUCUUAAGUUUUUGCCCUCACGAAAAAGCCCUAGAGGAAGAUAGGAAAAAGCAAAUAUUUUUCCAGUUCUACUUAACUGUUUCUAAACAAAAAUAAACUUGAUGAAAGGGAAAUUAUUUCUUUUUAG
rnacentral:lncRNA from 1 species